UAGGGAAUCUUCGGCAAUGGACGAAAGUCUGACCGAGCAACGCCGCGUGAGUGAAGAAGGUUUUCGGAUCGUAAAACUCUGUUGUUAGAGAAGAACAAGGACGUUAGUAACUGAACGUCCCCUGACGGUAUCUAACCAGAAAGCCACGGCUAACUACGUGCCAGCAGCCGCGGUAAUACGUAGGUGGCAAGCGUUGUCCGGAUUUAUUGGGCGUAAAGCGAGCGCAGGCGGUUUCUUAAGUCUGAUGUGAAAGCCCCCGGCUCAACCGGGGAGGGUCAUUGGAAACUGGGAGACUUGAGUGCAGAAGAGAAGAGUGGAAUUCCAUGUGUAGCGGUGAUAUGCGUAGAUAUAUGGAGGAACACCAGUGGCGAAGGCGGCUCUCUGGUCUGUAACUGACGCUGAGGCUCGAAAGCGUGGGGAGCAAACAGG
rnacentral:rRNA from 1 species